CUGGGAACUGCAGCCGGAUGAGCAGGGGAAGCAGGAGCAGUGGGAAGACGAGCACGAGUUCUCCCUCACCUGGACCACCAACACCUCGGUCAUUUUGCUGCGCUUUGCAAAGCACUUCCACUCGUGGGAGAAGACCGACCUCAUCCUCCUGGCGCUGCAGGGCAUGAAGGAGUGCAGCAACUACAGCACCCAGGUUGCUUCCACCUUGAUGGCCAUGCUGAUGGUCAACUUCCAGCCUACGCACAAUGAUGUGCGGCGCAUCGUGACGGCCAUCCACAGGAGCAGGAAGCUGAUCACAGAGGAGAAGGCGCUGAGGCACAUCCGUGGCACCUUCCCCUGGCUGGCCGCUGCCAACCCUCACG